GUCUACAACCAUACCACCCUGAACAUGCCUGAUCUCAUCUGAUCUUGGAAGCUAAGCAGAGUAGGGACUGGUUAGUGCUUGAAUGGCAGACAGUAAGUGAUUUAUUUAUGUCAUACAGC
rnacentral:rRNA from 1 species